GAUGAAAAUUCUCCGGAAUCGCUGUACUCCAUUGAUGAUCCCUUGAACCCAUAUAAGCUGAUGGCUGUGGCACUUUAU